rnacentral:ribozyme from 1 species
AUGCCCCAUUGCUCUGCUAAUGGGGUAGGAUCCGAGGCCCUGUAAAGGGACACAUAGGCUCUCCUACUCAACUCCUAUUCCGUCACGUCCCCGUCGUGCAGAGUGGAAAACUUGUUCCACCGUGUAUCCAAGCUUGGGUAAACGGGCCAGUCCCAACCCCUUGGGCGGAUGGUGGAGCACGGCCGAACAGGAGGGG